AGCGAACGUUAGCGGCGGGCCUAACACAUGCAAGUCGAACGCGAAAGGUCUUCGGACUGAGUAGAGUGGCGCACGGGUGAGUAACACGUAGGUAAUCUACCCUUUGGCGGGGGAUAACGUUCCGAAAGGAGCGCUAAUACCGCAUAAGACCACGGAGUCUCCGGACGCUGUGGGAAAAGGUGGCCUCUUCUUGAAAGCUACCACCGAAGGAUGAGCCUGCGUCCCAUCAGCUAGUUGGUAAGGUAAUGGCUUACCAAGGCGAAGACGGGUAGCUGGUUUGAGAGAAUGAUCAGCCACACUGGCACUGGAACACGGGCCAGACUCCUACGGGAGGCAGCAGUGAGGAAUAUUGGGCAAUGGGCGAAAGCCUGACCCAGCCACGCCGCGUGAGUGAUGAAGGCCCUCGGGUCGUAAAGCUCUGUGGAGAGGGACGAAAACCCUGGUUUCAAAUAGGCUCCAGGCUUGACGGUACCUCUUUAGCAAACACCGGCUAACUCUGUGCCAGCAGCCG
rnacentral:rRNA from 1 species